AUGUUGGGUUAAGUCCCGCAACGAGCGCAACCCUUGUCUCAUGUUGCCAGCGGGUAAUGCCGGGGACUCGUGAGAGACUGCCGGGGUCAACUCGGAGGAAGGUGGGGAUGACGUCAAGUCAUCAUGCCCCUUAUGUCCAGGGCUUCACACAUGCUACAAUGGCCGGUACAAAGGGCUGCGAUGCCGUAAGGUUAAGCGAAUCCUUUUAAAGCCGGUCUCAGUUCGGAUUGGGGUCUGCAACUCGCCCCCAUGAAGUCGGAGUCGCUAGUAAUCGCAGAUCAGCAACGCUGCGGUGAAUACGUUCCCGGGCCUUGUACACACCGCCCGUCACGUCAUGAAAGUCGGUAACACCCGAAGCUAGUGGCCUAACCUUUUGGAGGGAGCUGUCGAAGGUGGGAUCGGCGAUUGGGACGAAGUCGUAACAAGGUAA
rnacentral:rRNA from 1 species